rnacentral:rRNA from 1 species
AGCGAACGCUGGCGGCAGGCCUAACACAUGCAAGUCGAACGAAGUCUUCGGACUUAGUGGCGGACGGGUGAGUAACACGUGGGAACGUGCCCUUUGGUACGGAAUAACUCAGGGAAACUUGAGCUAAUACCGAAUGUGCCCUUCGGGGGAAAGAUUUAUCGCCUUUAGAGCGGCCCGCGUCUGAUUAGCUAGUUGGUGAGGUAAUGGCUCACCAAGGCUACGAUCAGUAGCUGGUCUGAGAGGAUGACCAGCCACAUUGGGACUGAGACACGGCCCAAACUCCUACGGGAGGCAGCAGUGGGGAAUCUUGCGCAAUGGGCGAAAGCCUGACGCAGCCAUGCCGCGUGGAUGAUGAUGGUCUUAGGAUUGUAAAAUCCUUUCACCGGUGAAGAUAAUGACUGUAGCCGGAGAAGAAGCCCCGGCUAACUUCGUGCCAGCAGCCGCAGUAAUAC